CCUACGGGCGGCAGCAGUAGGGAAUCUUCCACAAUGGGCGAAAGCCUGAUGGAGCAACGCCGCGUGGGUGAAGAAGGUCUUCGGAUCGUAAAACCCUGUUGUUAGAGAAGAAAGUGCGUGAGAGUAACUGUUCACGUUUCGACGGUAUCUAACCAGAAAGCCACGGCUAACGACGUGCCAGCAGCCGCGGUAAUACGUAGGCGGCAAGCGUUAUCCGGAUUGAUUGGGCGUAAAGGGAACGCAGGCGGUCUUUUAAGUCUGAUGUGAAAGCCUUCGGCUUAACCGGAGUAGUGCAUUGGAAACUGGGAGACUUGAGUACAGAAGAGGAGAGUGGAACUCCAUGUGUAGCGGUGAAAUGCGUAGAUAUAUGGAAGAACACCAGUGGCGAAGGCGGCUCUCUGGUCUGUAACUGACGCUGAGGUUCGAAAGCGUGGGGAGCAAACAGGAUUAGAUACCCCGGUAGUC
rnacentral:rRNA from 1 species